AUUGAACGCUGGCGGCAGGCUUAACACAUGCAAGUCGAGCGGGGGAAGGUAGCUUGCUACCGGACCUAGCGGCGGACGGGUGAGUAAUGCUUAGGAAUCUGCCUAUUAGUGGGGGACAACAUCUCGAAAGGGAUGCUAAUACCGCAUACGUCCUACGGGAGAAAGCAGGGGAUCUUCGGACCGUGCGCUAAUAGAUGAGCCUAAGUAGGAGUGGCUAGUUGGUGGGGUAAAGGCCUACCAAGGCGACGAUCUGUAGCGGGUCUGAGAGGAUGAUCCGCCACACUGGGACUGAGACACGGCCCAGACUCCUACGGGAGGCAGCAGUGGGGAAUAUUGGACAAUGGGGGGAACCCUGAUCCAGCCAUGCCGCGUGUGUGAAGAAGGCCUUAUGGUUGUAAAGCACUUUAAGCGAGGAGGAGGCUGGUUUAGUUAAUACCUAGAGAUAGUGGACGUUACUCGCAGAAUAAGCACCGGCUAACUCUGUGCCAGCCGCCGCAGUAA
rnacentral:rRNA from 1 species